AAGCUGCUCCCCUAUAGCACAUUGGUAAUGUAAGGAUCCUAAUUACCAGGCUGAUGAUAAUCUUUUCAGUCAUAUAUUGACUCUUGAUCAACUACUAAGUGUGGGCCUAUUGUGGGCCUACUGUCACAUGUCCACAGGAGCAGUUAACUAUAGGGACAGGAAAUGUAAUCAAAUGUAUACCUUGUCAUGUCUUGAUUGAUUCACUCUCACUACA